rnacentral:rRNA from 1 species
UACAGAGGUGGCAAGCGUUGUUCGGAAUUACUGGGCGUAAAGGGCGCGUAGGCGGUCUUGCAAGUCCUGUGUGAAAUCCCUCGGCUCAACUGAGGAACUGCACAGGAAACUGCUUGGCUUGAGUUCGGGAGAGGGAAGCGGAAUUCCGGGUGUAGCGGUGAAAUGCGUAGAUAUUCGCAAGAACACCAGUGGCGAAGGCGGCUCACUGGCCCGAUACUGACGCUGAGGCACGAAAGCGUGGGGAGCAAACAGG